GACACACGCAGACACACGCACGCACUCCCGCACUCCCGCUUCCUCUCCCACACACUCACCCCCCACCUAUAUGCACACGCACACACUCACACACUCACACUCACACACACAAGGCAGGGCGAGGCGAUGCCAGGAAACAUCGAUCCCGCUGAACAAACUGAACAUUAACAAACUCCUCCUCCUCCUCCUCUCCCCGCGACCUGAUGACAGGGAGAGAUUUACUCCCCAGCCGCAAAGCGCCGGGCAGAGGGAGUCUGUUAAAGGGACAGUGUCCUGCCGGGGACAGGGGCUGGGGGCCCAGGGCCCGGCGCGCCCGGCUGGCUCUCUCGGGGCGCCCUCGUCGUGGAUGGCGGGACGCCCCUCCGGGAGGAGGCUGGGGGCGGGGCGGGGCGGCCGGGAAGCCAGAGCACGGUGGUAAACUUGGAGCUGGGCAGACAGGCUGGGGGGGUCAGGCUGUCUGACCGGACCACCCAGGUUUGCUUGGGGCAGGGGGCUCGGUGGGGACCUUACUUACCCAGGGGUGACUCCCAUAUUUUAAGUCUUAACCAGACUCCCCCAAAUUUCCUGCUCACCUGCCUGGCUUAAGUUUCCCUCUUCUGUUCCUUCCACUGUCCUGAAGAUCAAGGGUGGUCUCCAAAACAAAAUCUGCCUUCUUGGACUCCUUGGGUAUGGUCUUUUUCUUUCCUUUAAGCAGUAUUUACUGAGCACCUACUCUGUACCUGUUCAGGAGACACAGCAGCCAUAGAGAAAGGAAAACUCCUAGGCUUUUGGUAUUUAUAUUCUAAUGGGGGACAGUACACAAAUCCCCUGAUGGCCCAUCUUUGCUUAAAUGUCGCCCUCUCCCUAAGGUCUACCUUAUUUAUAAUUUCAUACACAUGCCAUCCUAUUUUUUCAUUUUAUUUUUCCCCACCGGGCUUCUCAAUGCGGCACAUGUUAUGUACAGUUUUCUAUUUGGUUAAUUGUCUGAGAUCCCCUCUAGAAUAUAAGCUGUGUUGGGAGGAGGGAUUUUUGCCUCUUUUGUUCUAUAAUUAUCUCCAAUGAUGACAAAGCUUAAAUCUCAUAGUCAGGCUGCCCUAAAACAUUUGUGCAAUGAAUGAAAAGUAAGUAAAUGCACACACACACACAUCCUAACUUCAGAGUGGUAAACUCCAUGAAGAUGGUAAAACUGGGUGUCCUCGGAGUUUGACAGAGGAGGUGGAGGAGGAGGAAGAGGAGGAGGAGGAGGAGGAAGAGGAGCUGCAGAUCCCCAGUUGGGACAGAUUGAAGUUAGCCUUUAUCACUGAGGGCUGUUAUUGGCCCAGGACCUCUCCAGGUGUUGGGGGCCCAUCUGUGAACAGGUAGAACCUGAACUCUGCCCAUAUGGAGCUCUCCUUCCGGUGGGGGUGGCAAACAGGUAAGAAGCAAGGGACAUAGGCAGAGAGGAACUGGCCCUUGGACCACUCUGAACCCGGACUUGGAGGUCAGAGGAUGGUGAAUAGGUGAGACUUCCUGGGGAAAGUGGAGUCAAAACUGAGUUCUAAAGGUGGAGAAGGAGGUCGGUGGAAAGGAAACUGAUACAAACACCUUGAUCUUACAAAGACAGGUGUUGUUGGGAGCAUCUGCUUUCUACACUAAGCUCCUUCCCACUCUGGAGGCCACUCUUAAAGUGAGCCUGGCUGGGCAGGGGGGUCCUUACCCUAGAAUAAGGUUUUCUAACUUUGACUCUAUUAAGAUCCUGGCCAGAUACUUCUCUGUUGGAAGGGCAUCCUGGGCAAAGUAGAACGUUUAGCCCUAGCUAUUACCCGGCAUUGCCCAGUGCCCUGUGGGUGCAUAAUUGCCCCUGCCUGAGCACCAUUGCCUUAGGCUUCCUAAAUCAGAAACUUCAGGGUAAAGGACUAGGAAUCUGCAGUUUGAACAAGCAACCUCCAGCCCCAAGUGACUCUUCUGCUCCUGCAGUUUGAGAAUUUUUGCCAAAAAAGGCCUUUUGGCUUCUCUGGGAAUCUGACAAACCCAGUACUGCUAGCUACAAAACCAAGUCAUGCUUAGAUAUUAAUAUAAUUUAGUCUUUUGGGGUGAUUUGUCAUUGUGGCUACUGGGAUGAACUUUUACCCGUCCUUCUCCUUGCUAUCCCAUUCCUGUACCCACCGGAAGUGAGAUUUUACGGUAUGUCCUGGGACACCUCCUAUGAAUAACCCACCCACCUACCACCUUUGCCUUCCCUCCUGGGCAACUACCAGGAAAGAGUCGUUCCACUGAUAUCUUUCAUAAUAGUUCUUCUGGGCUGUAGGAAACUUAACUUUCUCCAUCCAACUUGUCAGCCACAAUGUGCCAUUGUCACCAUUUGCAAAGUGCUGUUUAAUCACUGUCUACAUUGCCACGUGCUUCUCCACCUCACAAGUCUAGCAUGGGUUGCUAAGUCACCUGCCCUAAAAUGACCUCCACCUGUGAUCAGCCUCACCUAAUCCCAGCCUAGUCCUCUGGCAACUGAGGCAGAGAAAAUCCCAUUUCACCAUUGACAAUAUCAGCAAAAGAUUAUGAAUUCUAAUUAUUCAGUAAACCUUUACGGGGCACUGUGCUAGGGACCCUUGCCUAUUGUGCAAAACCCCAGGAACCACACAAUUAUGGGGUCAGGAGAUACAGACUUAAGGCCUGAACAGAAGGAGGAGAGGGGCUUCAGGGAGCUCACUGUGAACUUACAUCUCCUCUAGAAGCCCCAGGUCCAUUGAGCUAGUGUUUGCCUUACACUCAGGCCAUUCCUUGACAAACACCCCCUGUGCGCUUCAGGUGUACCAGGCAUCGCCCCAAGAACAGGACACAGCAAUGCAUAAGGCAGGGCCUUGUCCUCCAAAAGUUUCUAUCAUAAUGGCAUCCAAAUGCUGGCCACAAGGAAAGUGGGAGCUUGGCAGCUAGAUCUAGUCUUGGGGAGAAUAAAGAGAAAAAUAGUAGUUGAAUCUGAGCAGUGCAGCUUCUUGCAGUUUCUUUGCAAUGUUCUCAGAAUGUUACUUCCACUCCCGCCUGGUCCUUAAUAGUGAGCGAUACAAAGAGGGACUCUUAGUAACUGUAAUACCUGCCUUUUGGCUGGCUACCGACAUAUUGUUGAGCCCACACUUCUGGAGUGUUAUUGCGGAAAUCUGUAUUUUUUCUUAUUGCUACCAAAGUAGAACAAUUCGUUUACUUACCAACAAGGAAUAUUAUGGCUCUGCCAGAGGGAUGCGUAACACAGUGAUACCCAGAUGUUUAGGAGUGGUGUAGAAAUGACAUGAGGUAACACCGAAUCACACAGUGAGAAAGUUAUUCCCUUUCAAUUAUCUUUCCAUUUGAGAUCUCCAUUUAGGGUUGGCCAUCUUUUCUGUACAUAACACUUGCUAACUUGUAUUCUUAACCAAGAUACCGUGGAUCUCGGACUCAGAAGCUUGGGCUGUAGCAAGUGCAACUAGCUGAACUUCUACAGAGUAGUUUGUUUUCACUGAGUUCACUUUAGGGCUUAGCUUCUACUUUAGUGAAAGAAACCUCACUCUGCUUGUGGUAGCAAUCUCAAGUUUAAACACAUGUAUUUGAAUCUAAAAAAGUAAAUAUAUGUAAGAGCCUAGAAAGAAGAUGGACAGAGCAGGUGGGCAUCAAAAUGAUGGCAAAAUGUGGGAAACUGCCACUACAACUGACUGCUCCAACUGGCAAAAGCACCGUGUAAGCCACAGGCUGUGGAUCUUAGGGAAACUUCUUCCAAGAAUUGACACUUACAACAAUGCUAGGUUUAAGUCUUGAGGAACUGAGUUUCCCCUAAUCCUGGACUCAAACCCCGGGGAUGUGUAGGGGCACAAACUGUCUGGAUGCAGCUCAACUGCAUCUCCCAGAAGAGUCCUUCCCACCCUGGCAGAACAUCGGAAUCACCUGGGGAAUGUUUAUUAUUAUGAGUCUCCUUUUUAAGGUAAAGAAGCCCAAGCCCCACUCCAGACUUACUAAAUUAGAUCCCAGGGAGGGGCCAGAAAAUCUGACAAUUCCAUGGUUGCCAGGUGAUUCUGAUAAGGUGCCAGGUAUGAAAACCUUUCCUAUACAAAAGUCGGGUUUUUGUAUCAAGUGAGCCAAGUCCGGAGAGUUUUGUCGCAUGCAAGGAACACAAAGCUCACCUAAUCUUGGGUUUCCUCAGAAGGUUGGUCGAAAGGUCCUCUCCGGGUCCCCAGAUGCCCGUGAAUUCUCCAUUUGGUGAACUUUAUACUGAGGGGUCAUCUUGGUUGCCAUUCGUUUGCCUGUCUUAUCCCUUGACUCCAAGCUAAUGCACUGAAAACAGACAUUUGCUGAGUGCCGACCGUGUGUAGGGCACUGCCCCGAUCGAUACCAGGCUGCCCGGAGACGAGCAUAUGGGGGGUGAUCUCCAUCACAGCCACAUCUUUCUGGGACGAGAUUUCUUCCUCCGACAAGAUUCUCCCUCCAAAUUGGCUUCUCCACUCUAAGCUCAAAGAUUCCCUGUGGUACCCACUCUAUCUCUCCUGCUCUGUGAGUAUCUUCUUUGUGUAUUUGCCUGUUUUUUAUUUAUCUCCCCUAAUGAAAUAUAAGCUCGAUUCAUCGCUAUAUUCCCAAAUUCAGUGCAUAAUGGUGCUCAUUAAAAAAAAAAACCCAAAAACCUAUAGAAUCACUGAAUACCAAGGUAGGGAUAUUUGCAAGGAAGGACGUACUUUUAAAAAAAACACCCUAUGCCCACAUAGUUUUUGUUAGAUACAGGUCUACAGCAUUUCUUCCUGUUUGUCAUUUUUCCAGUUGAUGCUGUCAUCCCUUGCCGACUUCUCUGCCUUUUCUACCAUUUCUCUCUCUGGUCUCCUGUCUCCUCCACAUUCUCUGUAACUUCACCUCUUCCAGACAGCACUCCCAAGGUAAUCCCAUGUGGUUCACACUUCUCAAAUCCAUAUUCUCUUACGGUGCAGAGAUUCAAGGUGGACACCUGGAAGUACCCUAGCAAGGAGAACUAAUUUCUGCUUGGAUUUCGGGUGAUAGUUACCUGGAACAGUCAGCCUCCAUGGCUUCUGAGAGGCUGAGAUGGUUCUUAACUAGGGUUCUGGUUACUUCAGUGCAUGCAUUCAGUCUGGAAAUUAAUUCAUUGCACACUUCCACUUCGUGUUCUUUUUCGUGAAUGUGUAAUGCUUCAAGAAGAAAAGGCAGCAUGUUCAAACUUUGCUGCAUAUUGUAGUCAACUGGGGUGACUUAAAAACUCCCAAUGGGUGUGCCUUACCCCGGAGCCUUACUUACAUCGGUCAGCGGGGUAGGAUCCAGCCUUCAGGAGUUUUUAAAUCUCUGUGGUGAUUCCAGUGCAUGGCUAAGUUUGAGAGGCAGUCCACCAUGCGAUUUUGCCCUUGGGGAUAUAAUUCAUUGCCUUUCUCUUGUGUCAUUUAACUAGUUUCUCUCCUCCUGGUGAAACUUUUAAGGUAGCAAUCUGUGGUUAAUUCUCUCUCUUGUGUGAUACCUGGUACAACUUUGUGCUGUCAGGGGCUGGGGCAAGGGUGACCCUGGCUCUCAGAGAGUGGGAGGAGGAAACCCCAGUGGGAUGAUGGGGUGGUGGAUAAGGGGUAGGGGCAGAGCCCACUUUAGGGUUAGGGACAGGAAAAGAAUCUCUGAGAAGGCAACAUGGAAACAGAGCUGGAAGCAGCCCGCAAGGAACCAGGGCCAGAAAUUGGAAGGGACAUCUGGGCCUCUGAACGGAAGGAGAUUCUAGGAAGCAGCCAGGGAGAGGAAAGCAGGAUGGCCAGAGGAGAGGGGCUGGGCUCUAUCACAGAAGAGCUCCAUCCUCACCUUCAUGUCAAGUUCCAACGUUACCGUCUCAGCUAUUGACGAAUGAGUUGGCUCCUUAUGGCUGGUGACUGUUUUGCCGCUGCUGAAGAAUCCAGACCAAGUCUUGGGCCCAGGAAUCCAUUGCUCAACUUCAUUAGCAACAGGAAGACAUUAAGUGAAAGUAAAGACUGGAACAGCCCAGAACCAUGUGACAGGCAGCCUUUAAGUCCUGGGCUCUGGUAUAUUUUAUGCCACCUCAACUGUGCAUCAAGCUCCACUUCCUGGACUCAUUAGAACUGUGUGCCCAAAGGUGCCCCUCAACUUUCAGAAGCAAAUAGAGAAUGAUAUAAUUCAC